rnacentral:rRNA from 1 species
GAUGAACGCUGGCGGUAUGCCUAAUACAUGCAAGUCGUGCGGAAAGGCCCCUUCGGGGGUACUCGAGCGGCGGACGGCAGAGUAACGCGUAGGAACGUACCCCAAACUGAGGGAUAACUGCUCGAAAGAGUAGCUAAUACCGCAUGUGGUCUUCGGACUAAAGCUUCGGCGGUUUGGGAACGGCCUGCGUUCGAUUAGCUAGUUGGUGAGGUAAAUGCUCACCAAGGCGACGAUCGAUAGCUGGUCUGAGAGCAUGAUCCCCCANACGGGUACUGAGACACGGACCCGACUCCUACGGGAGGCAGCAGUAAGGAAUAUUGGACAAUGGUCGGAAGACUGAUCCAGCCAUGCCGCGUGAAAGGAUGAAGGCGCUCAGCGUUGUAAAACUUCUUUUGUACGGGAACAAAAUGCGACCUGCGGUUGUACUGAGGGUACCGUAAGAAUAAGCACCGGCUAAACUCCGUGCCAGCAGCCG